rnacentral:rRNA from 14 species
AAAAAACUGCUUCUACUGCUGCUGCUGCUGGCAUAAAAACUGCUGCUGAGUUCUCCUAGGAAAUUUUUAAGACUGUAAUAAGCUGCUGCAUGCUGCCUAGGAAAAUUUUAAUACUACUUGAAAAAUUAAACUAAUGCAAGUUUAUAAAAAUAGAAUAUGCUGCUGCAUGCUUAAUAGUGGUAGUACAACAAA